rnacentral:rRNA from 1 species
UACGUAGGUGGCAAGCGUUGUCCGGAGUUACUGGGCGUAAAGGGCGUGUAGGCGGCUUUUUAAGUCAGACGUGAAAUCUUUAGGCUUAACCUAGAAACUGCGUUUGAAACUGGAAGGCUUGAGGACCGGAGAGGGUAGUGGAAUUCCCAGUGUAGCGGUGAAAUGCGUAGAUAUUGGGAGGAACACCAGUGGCGAAGGCGACUGCCUGGACGGCACCUGACGCUGAGGCGCGAAAGCUAGGGGAG